rnacentral:rRNA from 1 species
UUAACACAUGCAAGUCGAGGGGCAGCAUUUUAGUUUGCUUGCAAACUAAAGAUGGCGACCGGCGCACGGGUGAGUAACACGUAUCCAACCUGCCGAUAACUCGGGGAUAGCCUUUCGAAAGAAAGAUUAAUAUCCGAUGGUAUAUUAAAACCGCAUGGUUUUACUAUUAAAGAAUUUCGGUUAUCGAUGGGGAUGCGUUCCAUUAGUUUGUUGGCGGGGUAACGGCCCACCAAGACAACGAUGGAUAGGGGUUCUGAGAGGAAGGUCCCCCACAUUGGAACUGAGACACGGUCCAAACUCCUACGGGAGGCAGCAGUGAGGAAUAUUGGUCAAUGGACGAGAGUCUGAACCAGCCAAGUAGCGUGAAGGAUGACUGCCCUAUGGGUUGUAAACUUCUUUUAUAUGGGAAUAAAGUAUUCCACGUGUGGGAUUUUGUAUGUACCAUAUGAAUAAGGAUCGGCUAACUCCGUGCCAGCAGCCGCGGUAAUACGGAGGAUCCGAGCGUUAUCCGGAUUUAUUGGGUUUAAAGGGAGCGUAGGUGGAUUGUUAAGUCAGUUGUGAAAGUUUGCGGCUCAACCGUAAAAUUGCAGUUGAAACUGGCAGUCUUGGGUACAGUAGAGGUGGGCGGAAUUCGUGGUGUAGCGGUGAAAUGCUUAGAUAUCACGAAGAACUCCGAU